rnacentral:rRNA from 1 species
GACGAACGCUGGCGGCGUGCUUAACACAUGCAAGUCGAACGGAAAGGCCCUGCUUUUGUGGGGUGCUCGAGUGGCGAACGGGUGAGUAACACGUGAGUAACCUGUCCUUGACUUUGGGAGAACUUAAGGAAACUGGGGCUAAUACCGGCUAGGAGCUCUUGCUGCAUGGUGGGGGUUGGAUAGUUUAGGCGGUUGGGGAUGGAAUCGCGGCUUAUCAGCUUGUUGGUGUGGUAGUGGCUGACCAAGGCAUGGAACGGUAGCCGGCCUGAGAGGGGAAGCAGCCACAUCGGGACUGAGAUACGGCCCAGACUCCUACGGGAGGCAGCGGUGGGGAGUAUUACACAGUGGGCGGGAGGCUGAUCCGACCACGCCGCGUGCGGGAUGACGGCCUUGGGGUAGUGAAGCGCUGUCGCCUUAGACGAGGCGUGAGUGACGGUACUGGGUGAAGAAGCACCGGCUAACUACGUG